rnacentral:rRNA from 1 species
UACGUAGGGCGCAAGCGUUGUCCGGAAUUAUUGGGCGUAAAGAGCUCGUAGGCGGUUUGUCGCGUCUGCUGUGAAAACCUAAGGCUCAACCUUGGGCUUGCAGUGGGUACGGGCAGACUAGAGUGCGGUAGGGGUGACUGGAAUUCCUGGUGUAGCGGUGGAAUGCGCAGAUAUCAGGAGGAACACCGAUGGCGAAGGCAGGUCACUGGGCCGCAACUGACGCUGAGACACGAAAGCUAGGGGAGCAAACAGG